UACGUAGGGUGCGAGCGUUGUCCGGAAUUAUUGGGCGUAAAGGGCUCGUAGGCGGUUUGUCGCGUCGGGAGUGAAAUCCUACGGCUUAACUGUGGGCUUGCUUUCGAUACGGGCAGACUAGAGGUAUGCAGGGGAGAACGGAAUUCCUGGUGUAGCGGUGAAAUGCGCAGAUAUCAGGAGGAACACCGGUGGCGAAGGCGGUUCUCUGGGCAUGAUCUGACGCUGAGACGCGAAAGCGUGGGGAGCGAACAGG
rnacentral:rRNA from 1 species